rnacentral:rRNA from 1 species
AGAGUUUGAUCCUGGCUCAGGAUGAACGCUGGCGGCGUGCUUAACACAUGCAAGUCGAACGAAACCAAUUGAUUGAAGCUGUCUGGUGGAUUUCAAAUUGACUGAGUGGGGGACGGGUGAGUAACCCGUGGGUCACCUGCCUGCACGAUGGGGGUAGCAACAAUUAGAACAUGACUGCUAAGACUCUCAUCAGCACACAGGACGGCAUGGUCUAGUGUGAAAAGCUCUGUUGGUGUGAGAUGGACCCGCGUCUGAUUAGCUAGUUGGCGGGGUAACGGCCCACCAAGGCGACGAUCAAUAGCGGACCUGAGAGGAUGACCGGCCACAUUGGGACUGAGACACGGCCCAAACUCCUACGGGAGGCAGCAGUGGGGAAUAUUGGUCAAUGGGCGAGAGCCUGAACCAGCCAAGUAGCGUGCAGGAUGACGGCCCUAUGGGUUGUAAACUGCUUUUAUAAGGGAAUAAAGUGAGUCUCGUGAGACUUUUUGCAUGUACCUUAUGAAUAAGGACCGGCUAAUUCCGUGCCAGCAGCCGCGGUAAUACGGAAGGUCCGGGCGUUAUCCGGAUUUAUUGGGUUUAAAGGGAGCGUAGGCCGGAGAUUAAGCGUGUUGUGAAAUGUAGACGCUCAACGUCUGCACUGCAGCGCGAACUGGUUUCCUUGAGUACGCACAAAGUGGGCGGAAUUCGUGGUGUAGCGGUGAAAUGCUUAGAUAUCACGAAGAACUCCGAUUGCGAAGGCAGCUCACUGGAGCGCAACUGACGCUGAAGCUCGAAAGUGCGGGUAUCGAACAGGAUUAGAUACCCUGGUAGUCCGCACGGUAAACGAUGGAUGCCCGCUGUUGGUCUGAAUAGGUCAGCGGCCAAGCGAAAGCAUUAAGCAUCCCACCUGGGGAGUACGCCGGCAACGGUGAAACUCAAAGGAAUUGACGGGGGCCCGCACAAGCGGAGGAACAUGUGGUUUAAUUCGAUGAUACGCGAGGAACCUUACCCGGGCUUGAAUUGCAGAGGAAGGAUUUGGAGACAAUGACGCCCUUCGGGGCCUCUGUGAAGGUGCUGCAUGGUUGUCGUCAGCUCGUGCCGUGAGGUGUCGGCUUAAGUGCCAUAACGAGCGCAACCCCUCUCCUUAGUUGCCAUCAGGUGAAGCUGGGCACUCUGGGGAUACUGCCACCGUAAGGUGUGAGGAAGGUGGGGAUGACGUCAAAUCAGCACGGCCCUUACGUCCGGGGCUACACACGUGUUACAAUGGCAGGUACAGAGAGAUGGUGUUCUGCAAAGCGCAUCAAAUCCUUAAAGCCUGUCUCAGUUCGGACUGGGGUCUGCAACCCGACCCCACGAAGCUGGAUUCGCUAGUAAUCGCGCAUCAGCCAUGGCGCGGUGAAUACGUUCCCGGGCCUUGCACUCACCGCCCGUCAAG